AAGAAACCAGCUGCCAACGCAUCUAACCACGCUUAACAGUCAACGCAUGCCAAAAUGUGACUGUAACCGAAGAAUAUUUACACUACCAAACAGCACACAUGUUGAGGAUCUGAAUCUUACUGAUGCAAGCAUAGUUAAUCUACCAUCGCAUAGAGGAAUCUAAAAUAAAGCAUGAUGCAUUGGUUCUAAAAUAAAUCAUCAACAAGCAAAACAUCAAAUCACAGCUUGGCCUACAAAUCUUAGGGGUUUAGCUUACUAGCAACUACCAUUAUCCCCC
rnacentral:lncRNA from 1 species